rnacentral:snRNA from 1 species
GCAUGCAAGGCAAACGUCCUACCCUGGCUGCAACAUCUGUCACCCCAUUGGUCGCUGUCACCCCGAAUCAGCCAGGGGUGAUUCGGCUGAUCUGAUUGGCUAGGCUGGUGUCCCCUUCCUUCCUCACUACUCCAUGUCCGUCCCUCCCAAAGAGGAUGUCCUUUCCCGAAUAGAGACGGACCAGUCCUCUGUCAAGGGUAUACGAGUAGCUGCGCUCCCCUGCUAGAACCUCCAAACAAGCUCUCAAACAAAACAAAAGGCUGAAGAAAUCUGGGGGUCUGAGAAAUUCCAACCCUGAAAUUUU